UCCCCGUCACGGCCGAUGCAUAGCAUGAACUGAAGGCACCUCGGCAAGGAAAGACGAAGAUUCGCUAGGGCGCCGAGUGAUUCGGUGCAGGCGAUUGAAACAAGCACAACAUUCAAGCAAUCAUGAAUGUUCGGUGCGCCAAUCGCGGGCAACAAUUAAUGGAUGUACGUUACUAUAUCGCCGGCGGCAUACUUCAUGGCUUCAUGCUUCGUCUCCUCAUCAUCUUUGCCUCUCCCUGCUUCCCUCGAAUUCUCUAUCUCAAGGAGUGAUGCCGACGGUACGCCCGACACUCUAGCUCCCACUCACCGCCGAUGGCGAGGCGGCCGAGAAGAUGGAUGUGAGGGAAGAUCCCGGCAGCCGUAGAGGCUAGAGGGUGUGCCCGGCUCGUCCCGUGCUCGAAGGGAUGAGGCGCUCCCGGUGGGGAGGUGCGCUUGGAGACUGCAGCACGACCAUAACUUCAAUCUCGCCAUCUCGGUAAGGAGCCGGUCUCAUGGGGUUGCUGCGGAUCCGCCAUGUAUGUGGCCAUGUGGAGACCAUCUGACUGAGGACUAUCUCCCCAUUGCCUCCUGCUCUCUUCCAAUCGUUUGAUCUUGAGGUCCAAGUCGCAGACAGACCGGCAGCUACUCACAAGAAUGGGAGAUUCACCCGCGGCGAAGAAUUUGGUUAGGCGAAGUGAAUACCAGGACAUGACGCUGCUUCACUUGCCCUGGCUGCUCCCUAUCUUUAUCUGUCUGUCCUGGUGUUCUCCAUAAUUAACCUCACUUAAGGAUGCCAGCUAUAAGAAUAUUCCAAGGAAGGCAAGAUUUUGAUUUUAUUCUUCUUAUGCAAAUCAGGUUUUCCUGUAAAUAUGCUGGUUCUAAAAGUUUAUUGGACAAUUCUACAUUAUGUUUUGUAUGGAUACUGUCAAUAAUUCGACUAUCAUAUAAGCUUAUUAGGCUCCUGGGAUCUGUCUUGAGCAAUGGAUGGUUUUCUUCUUCAGUGUGAAAUUGUACCAAAGGAAAGAGGCUUCAAAAAUAUUUUAGGACACUCCAGUACCCUCUUGAAUGAAUCUUAUCUCAAGGUUGUAUGUCUUGUUAUAACGGCAGUCCUCCCUCCAUUGUCAAGCAAUUUACUGUAAAGUUUGUACACUUUUUGCAGAAUCAAUAUGGAUGCAACCUGUAUGAUAUGGUUACUUGUAGAACAUUUUGAUUACCACUUGCAUUUAUUUGAGUUGUUACUGCCCUGAAUUCUUACAUGGAGGUGGUUGUUCUGAUGCUAGCGAACUCUUGAAUUGUGAUUUAGAUGGAGAUAUUGAGAACUAUCGUUUUGUGUUCACUACAAAAGAUUCUUUUCAAUUCCUACUGAUGUGUUCUUGCAUUUCUUAUAUUGUUAUCUCCUUCAGGGGCAGGGAGGAUCUGUUUAUCUUCUAUCACUGGCUCUACUUAUUAUUGUCAUGUGCAGAAAUAUUCCACAAAGCCUUCAUCAGGAACCAGUUCGUCACUUGAUUACUAUAUAUAAGGUUUAUCGUAAGCUCACUUGCUGAAUGUGUGUGUGUUAUUAAAGAAAAUUGUUUAAUAUAUACAUAUCCAUAAAAAUGCUGACUGUUGGUCCACUCUGUGUGGAUAAUUCCUUUCAUUUGGAUGCUUGCACAAACAGUGGCCUGCCCUAGAUACCUAUAUGUUGAGUUGCGGUUCAACUAUUCUUCACUCAAAUUUGCAUCUCAAAUCAAAGAGUUGGCCAAAUAAGGACACUUAUUCUACUCAUGUGCUCUCACACUUCAGUGAAGCAACUAUUCCAAGCCCGUCCACUAUUUUAGCUCAUAUUAACAUUAUAGAUCCAGUUGGCCAGAGUUAACCAAAAUCUAUAGGCUGCAUCUUUCUAGCUUUGCUGCUCUGCUCCGCAUGUGCAUAUGAAAUAGACUUAAGGUACAUAUAAGUUUUCUAUUUAUGUUAAAGCGUCAAGUUAAUUCCUAGCUAUGUAUUUAGUUAGUGUAAAAUUUUAAGGCUGAAACUCUUCCUACUUAGCAGAAGUAGGCUAUGUUGAGAAUUAGAGACUUGUUAAUUUUCUUUUGGGGAUCAAUUGAAUCUGAACUCUAUAUAUUUGUUUUAGAAAUAGAUAACUCUUAGUAUAGCAAUCUGGCCAUUCUUGUACCGUCAUCACACCCUCUACCUUACAUAGUUAUGUCGACGUUUGGCUUCUAAAUGCUGCGAUAAUUUCCUUAAUUAAGCUAAUUGAUUGCCAUCUUGGUUUCCUGUUAUCUGUAGACCAUCUUAUUUCUAACUCUAAUUAUAAGAUUGCAGUAUCCCUUUUCCAGGAAAUGUUCGUGAUCUUGAAGAAAGCAAAGUCCUCUUCGGCUGUAUGGACUCUGCGCAUGUACAAUCAGUCAUCGAUUCCCUGGCACCUACUGUGACGACAUAUCGACAUCCGGCAAUUGGUAUCCCUGCACAAGAAAUGGGGGGCUACAAGAAGCUACAUGCAUCAUCAUAGCUUUAUGUCAGGAGGCGGUUGUGAGGCCCCUUAAAACCCAUCUAGGGUUUUGUUCCUCUCGCUGGCGACGCUGCUAGCUCGCUCCAUCUCCGGUGGCCUUGGGGCCUUGGAGGCAUGGUGGACCACGGUCUCUCGCUGGCGGGAAGGUUUCAGUUCUUCGUUUAGUUUGUUUCCAGUGAGAAUAAUGUCCUCUCCGCUCUAUCCUCACUCCAGUGGUGCAUCUAGCGCCAAAGGAGAACGUGUGGAAUCGUGUGUCCGAAGGAUCUUCUGGGAUCGGGUCAGUUUUUGUGUUCGUUGGUGUCGUUUCAGGCCAGUCUCUUUCGAUCUACUUUGUCAUUAUUGGAUAUGGUUGUUGCUCUGGUGGUAGAUCCACUAGUAGAAAACCCCCCCUUUAGUACCGGUUCUAA